rnacentral:rRNA from 1 species
AGAGUUUGAUCCUGGCUCAGAACGAACGCUGGCGGCGUGCCUAACACAUGCAAGUCGAACGGAAUUUGAGAGCUUGCUCUUAAAUUUAGUGGCGCACGGGUGAGUAACGCGUAGAUAAUCUGCCUGGCGAUCUGGGAUAACACUUCGAAAGAGGUGCUAAUACCGGAUAAGCCCACGGAGUCUUUGGACUUUGCGGGAAA